GGUAGUGUGGCCGAGCGGUCUAAGGCGCUGGAUUUAGGCUCCAGUCUCUUCGGAGGCGUGGGUUCGAAUCCCACCACUGCCA
rfam:Mus musculus chromosome 14, GRC primary reference assembly.